CAGCAGCCGCGGUAAUACGAAGGGUGCAAGCGUUACUCGGAAUUACUGGGCGUAAAGCGUGCGUAGGUGGUUGUUUAAGUCUGCUGUGAAAGCCCUGGGCUCAACCUAGGAAUUGCAGUGGACACUAGGCGACUAGAGUAAGGUAGAGGAUAGUGGAAUUUUCGGUGUAGCAGUGAAAUGCGUAGAGAUCGGAAGGAACAUCUGUGGCGAAGGCGACUAUCUGGGCCAUUACUGACACUGAGGCACGAAAGCGUGGGGAGCAAACAGGAUUAGAUACCCCAGUAGUCCCUGUCUCUUAUAA
rnacentral:rRNA from 1 species